CCCCUUCGUAACCUGUGGAGGAUGGCACUGUGUUUGCACAGGUUUAGUGUCAGGACAGGUAGUCCCGUCGAUGUCUGUGACCAGGUGACUCCCUCGUGUGUCUGUGGGCUGGAUACACUUAGAUUUCCUCAGCCAUGGAGAAGGGAGAACAACAGAGAUGGAUAAGGAAGAAGCCAGGGUCACUUGGAGCCUCAGCGGGAUGCAGGGUGGCAUCACGUGCAGGCUGACUCACCUCCACCCCAGCGGAGACACCGGGCCAGGUCGUUUCCUGUUCCCAGGGGCAGGACAGCCACCGGUGGAUGCUUGAUCUGCCAAGACCCACUCCUGCCCCUCCACGCCCUCGCACCUCCUGGUUCUGCUACUGUUCCAGCUCUGGCCACAACGGAGGCACUACGAAGUAUGAUUCUCUGAAGGGGUCUAUAGACUACAGACUGCCAAAGGGCUUUGUGGGACCUAAAGGGUCUUGUACUGCCAUUGCUAUAAAUAGCAGCGUUGUGUCAGACAACUAAAGACAAGCACAGAGUUCUAUUUUUAGAGUCUUUACUAGGACCCAUCCGCCAGAAAGAUUUCGCUGAAUCCAGAAGACAAAUAAAUGCUUCUUAAGAGGCAAGAAAGUUGGUCCAUCGUGCGCGGAGAGCGGAGGCGGGACUGGCCAGCAGGUGGCGCUACGGCAACGGCUCUGACAGGUCUUUCGGCCUGGCCUUCCCACCUAUGGGGGGGUGGGGGGGGGACACCACCUCUCCCGCCUCACUGGGUAGAUUUGAAAACUGCAGAGGGACCGCGAUCAGAACACUUCCUCCUCCCUUAACAACGGACCGGACCGUGAAAAUAGUGGCUCACACAGCUUUGCUAAGAAGCUCAGAUAAGUCACCAGCCUGCCCUUUUUUGGUCAGUCAAAUACAUAGUGCAUGCAAUUUUCUGCUCUCAUAAAAUCAACAGCUUUGAGGUGGGGUUGGGGAAGCCAGGUAAAGGAGGUGACUUCUCAAGGAUGUGUUCCUCAGCAUCCCUGGAAACAGUCAGUGUGGGAUGCAAGACAAAGAAGAGCCAGGGUGUCAAGCGGCAGAGGGGACAAGUCCAGAGAUGAAAGAGACAUAUAAAGUGACAAAGAAAUGAGUCUUCUACGGAGAGUGAAGGGGAGGUGGAGAGACACGCAGUAAAGGUUACUGUCUCAUACCCUGGCGUGGGUCCCCCAUUGUCCAGGUUGAAAACUUGUUUGGGGUUGAGCAGGUAGUGGAAUUUCCGAAGAAUCCUAUGGAGGAAAAGGAAGGGGAACGGGCAGACGAGGAGCGAUGGCAUGGUUAGAAGUCACAGGAGGGCAGACACUCCCCCUUCGCCCCCAAGAGACCCACCCUGGGGGGGACCCAGGGUUCACUGAAACCAGAGAGGAGAGACCGCUGCACACAGAUCCUGAUGUCCCAGAUCUAUUGUCCUUGUGCUCGGCCCCUGGUCAGGGGCACCCCACAUCUGAGACUGUAGCCCCUGCCCUGGAGCAGCGGCCUUGCAGGGGACACGGUAGAGAAGCCCAGAGAACAGGAGCUUCUGUCCAGUGCUUCUUCCUCCAGAGACCUGGGAGCAGAUGUCAUGCGUGGUCUGUGCAGUGUGAGUGUGGAUGGUCCCAAGGCAGGGGGAAAUGGGGUGAGGAUCCCCUGUCCCAAGUCCUGAGGAGAUGCAAAGGGGGCAGGUGUGGGGAGCAGAGAGGCAGUGGCUGCCUCUCGGCUUGGGUCCUGGGCUCCAGCUGGACACUAAUCAGUUAGUUCAGGAGUAGUGUCCCACCCCUUGGACUCGGGUUGGGGGCCCCAUGGUUCUGACUUUAUUCUUUUUUUUUUUGGUACUGGAGAUCGAACUCCCAACCUUGCGCUUGCCAGGCAGGUGCUUAUUCUGCUGAGCUAAAUCCCCAGCCCCUGACAUUAUUCUUAUUUAUUUAUUAACCAGGAUUUUCAGAUCACUGUGUCAUCUGCUUAUUAUCCCUGGACAGACUGGGAAGGCAGGGUCACUGUGUGUGUCCCUUUGGUCCCUCUCUCCUCCUACUCUACUUAGCAGUCAACGGCUCCUUCCCCAAGGAGGAGGGUGUCCCGCCCACGUGGGGAUGGGGACAGCCCAGGAGGCCCUAAGCAGCUGAGUCCUACCAGCUCUUUUAAAUCAGGAAAAGACAUUGGAGGCUAAGAAGGACAAGCAUCUCUGAGAUCCCCAGGGACUUAGCGGUGGCUCCUGUGAUGGGCACUGGGCUAAGCACUGGGUCCUUUCCAGUUGUUAACCCUUGAGAAGAAACAGGAUUGCACAUUACAGAGUAAGAAACCGAGGCACGAGAACGUGAAGUCCCUUGGGCCGGUGGUGCUGGGAUGUCAGUCCAGGUCUCCCUGUCUCCCCAGCCACAUAGCUCAUUCUCUGCAGUCCAGGAGUGGAAGGGGCCUGGGACUUUCCGCAUGGUAAGAGAGGAAGACAUACCUUUCUCCUUGUCUCCCUCCACUCUUUGGAUUCACCAGGACCAGCAGUGGGUGGGUGCCCGGGGUGGGGAUGAUCUUAUACUUCAAAGGCAAAAAGAAAAAGAGACAGACAUCAGCUGUGCUUUGUCCGAUAAGAAGGCCAGAAGAGAUGAUGAGAAGACGGAUUCAGAGAGGUGGAUGGGAUGCAGGGCCAGGCAUGGAGGAGAGGCGGACAGGGAGGUGGGGCUCGGUCCGCUGGCUGGGAUUUCUGGGGGUGAAGCAGCUUGGUGUCCCGGCGUGAGUGGCCUUUACGGAGUGUUAAUGGCAAAGAGGGCUGGAGGAUGGGGUCGGAGAUGGGGCGAUGGCACUGGAGCUGCGAAUCACUCAACAAUGGUGUGGCCUUGGGCCUGUAGCACAAGGUCAAAUUUUGUGAGGGACACAGCUAAACACAAUCUCAGACGGUGUCGCCCUGUGGUCAUACAUGUAAAUGAAAUCCAUGCUUGUGGGGCAAAAAAUCACUUCGACUCUGGCAUCUUCCAAAUUCAUAUUUUCGGACCCAAUUUUUCUCCUGCGUCCUGGUCCCAUACUUCUCUCUGUCUGUCCAGGGGCCUUCACCUGGACCACUGACCACCAGUGAUGAGUCCGCAGUCCUGACUCAUUUUCCCUUCUCUUGAGAUGGGUCCUCUAUCCUGGGUCCCUGCGUUUAUUCAUCCAGGGAAGGCCUGACCUGCCACGCCAUGUCCUGCAGUGUUUCUUUAUCCCCAGAAGCUGUCGGAGUCUCUCCUUCCCGAGCUUUUGCUCCCCCUGAAGUCCUGGGUGCUGCCUUUAUGCAGUGACUUCUCAGGACUGCUGCUCCUCCCCAGACACCUCAGUGACAUCUCACUGCCCAGAGGACAAAGUCCACGUUUCUGAGCCUGGCACCCAUGCCUGGUCAGUCUAGUCCCCUCGUACUGCGAUCACCUCCUCCUAACCCCCAGCCCGCUGUACACUCUGGUGAGUGUGCUCCUGUGCAAUUUCUUUGAGAAACAAGCAAAAGCAAAAUUUGAGCAGCUUCCCUUCCUCAGUGGCCAGUUCCAGAGCCAUCUCUUCAUGGAAGUGUCCCCUGGUCAGUGCAAGUAAAAUAUUGUGCCUGAAAUUUGUAGCAUCCUCAGAGGUUUGUUUUGUUGUUUGUUUGUUUUUUACGUUCUCAGGGGAUGUCUCAAGGCAUUGAAUGGAUUGUAAAUGCAGCAGGAGCAGGGUGAGCAUUGGAGAGCUCUCCUACUAAGGGCCCCUUGAGAUCAUGGAUUUAGCUGAGUGAAAAUGCGACGGAUGCAGCUCAGGAUCUGAUGCCUGCUUUUUCAGAUCUCAAACUGAAAAUCUAGCGGAAGGAAGUCUGAUAUAAACAGUGGGCGCAUCUGUGUUGUGUGUGUGCCCCACUUUAUUUGCUGUCCCCCUAGAUGUCCGGUGCUUUCUCACCUCUUCACGUUCUCCUGUCAUGAUGUCUUACAUUUUACUUUAUACCAAAACCCACAGAUCUGCAAGCUCUCAGUUAAUCCCACAGCACCUCUGGAAGGUGGGCAGGGUAAGGAUGGCUGGGUCCCUUUCCCAGCAAGGAAACGAAGCUCUAGGGAAGAGGAGGAGGCCUUACUUUCCUAUUUCCUUUUCUUGGGACUCUUUGUACCUUAUCAGGCUGCCUUCCCUGGACUUUAAAUGCACAUUUAAGGAUGAAGAACUUUGGAUCCGCUUAGCUUUGUCUUGGCAGACCAGGUUUUGGGAGACUCAUUGUCUACUUAUAGGCCACACUUUUGUUAUAGUUUGGGAGGUCCGCGUAUCAAAGUUUUAUAAGAGGUGACAAAGCCAAUUGGACCAGCGAUGGGAUCAGCCAACCUCCCUUCUCACCACUUGCCUACAGUGUGGCGGUCAAAGGUAACUCCAGAGGCCGGAAUAAAGUGUCCUCCUGUGUGACAGAAUUGAUCAGACGAGAAAGCAGACGUUGAGACACAUUUCUUUCCAACCCAAACCCCGCCCGCCCUCCACAGCCUGGGACCCCCUUAGAAGGAGAGACUGGCUCGCGGGCUGGGGAGGUACCUGCAUUACAAGUUCGCCCUUGGCUGCUACACUGCUGCCGUCAGACUUCCCACCUUGCCUGUCCUGCGAGAAGAGAAGAGAGAUGAGCAUCUUCUGAAGGAAAAGAACACGACCAAAACUCAGACCAAAGCAAGGCAGACGCCUACUGUAUGGGAAGGGAUCAGAUAAAACCCAAUGGCUGAUCCCACCAAAGAGAUUAAAAGACCAAUAGAAUGUGAGGGGUUUCUCAAGGGAGACUUUAUUAUUUGUUGACUUUUGGAGACAGAGUCUCAGGAGGCAAUUCAGGCUGUUUUUGAGCUCACUUUGUAGCCCAGAUUAUUCUUGAAUUUACCAAGACCCUUCUGCCUCAGCCUCCUGAGUGCUGGGAUUACAGUCACCAUGACUGGCUUCAAAGGGAGAUUUUAGAUCUUUUUUUUUUCUUUUUGGUACUGGGAUCAAACACAACCUUGCGCUUGCCAGGCAGGCACUUAUGCCACUGAGCUAAAUCCCUGGCCUGAGACUUUAGAUCUCAAAAAACAAAACAAAACAAAACAAAACAAAACAAAAAACCCACCAAAAAACAGAGUGCACCGUGACUGGUUUCUGUAGGAUUCUCCAGGAUCUAUCAUUACUUGCUGUGACUUUAUUCCCUAAUACAGGCAAGGGACAUUGCGGGGCAAUACUAAAAUUGACAGAAAUUUAUUUUAUGGGUCAGAAAACUUGAACUGUGAGAACAAGAGUUAACGCCUCUACCCACAUAAUUUGAUGAUACAACAUCAGACUAUGAAAUAAGUGACUGUUUUUAACUGUUUGUCCAAUAUGUAUCAUUUAUUUCAUUGAGGCUUAUAUAGCAUCUUAUAAAAUGCUCAGAUCUCAACUGCACAUUGAGGAAUUUUUGCAUGUAUAUGUAUAUGUAUGUGUAUAUGUAUGUAUGCCCUCAUAAUAUGCUUGUGCAAUUUUGGUUAUUACACUAGUUUUACUUUACUUUUGAGUUUUACACAACCAUUGUUUGUUCCUUCCAGUUGUGACAUACUAUAUUAUAUUACACGAAUACCAUA